CCUUUAAGCUCCGGUGCGUGAUGUCACCGGGCUGGGUGCGGGUUGCGGCGGGGAGCGCUGCGGCGGGGACCCCUGCCCGCUGGGGGACAGCUGCCCGCUGGGGACCCCUGCCCGCUGGGGACCCCUGCCCGGUGAGUCCUUCUGCCCCGCGGGGUCUCCUGCCCGCUGGGGCACGCUGGCCCGUGGGAACACCCUGCUCGGUGGGAGCCGCUGCCUGCUGGGACCUUUUGGCCCUCGGGGAUCCCCGGCUCGGUGGGACCCCCCGCCCCGCUGGCAGGACGGGCUCGGCGCAGCAUGGGGAGCCUGCAGCUGCAGGAGUUCGCAGCGGGCUUGGUGGGCGGAACUGCCAGUGUGGUUGUGGGGCACCCCCUGGACACAGUCAAGACUCGUUUGCAAGCUGGACAAGGAUAUGGAAAUACACUCAACUGUGUUCUCACUGUGUACAGAAAUGAGUCUGUGGCUGGUUUUUUCAAAGGCCUGUCCUUCCCACUGGCCAGCUCUGCUGUCUACAACUCCCUGGUAUUUGGUGUCUUCAGCAACACACAACAGCUCCUCAGCCAGCUCCGUCAUGGAGACCCAUCUCACACCCCAGCGCUGGCUGAUGUGGCUCUGGCCAGUGUGGUGGCAGGGUUUGUGUCCGUGGGCAUUGGCACUCCUGUGGAGCUGGUGAAGAUAAGGCUGCAGAUGCAAACGCAGCCAUAUACCAAAGCAGACACUAAACUAAACCCCACAGUUCCUGGCUUUCCCGUGUACCGAGGUCCAAUCCACUGCUUUAGGACAGUCCUGCAGAAAGAAGGGAUAGCAGGAAUAUAUCGAGGUUCAGGAGCAAUGCUCCUGAGGGAUAUUCCUGGAUACUGCCUCUAUUUCAUCCCAUACAUGUGUUUCUGUGGGUGGAUCACCCCCGAGGGAUGCCUUUCCCCCAGUCCCUUCUCCAUCUGGCUGGCAGGGGGUAUAGCAGGAGCCAUUUCCUGGGGGACUGCUACUCCAAUGGAUGUUAUGAAAAGUCGACUUCAGGCAGAUGGAGUUUAUUUAAACAAGUACAAAGGGACCCUGGACUGUAUCAUGCAAAGCUACCAGAGCGAGGGCUUAAAAGUCUUUUUUAGGGGCAUCACGGUCAAUGCAGUGCGAGGAUUCCCAACAAGUUCAGCCAUGUUUCUUGGCUAUGAACUUUCCCUCAAAGCAAUGAAAAGAGACCAAACUGAGACCAAUCCUUAACUUCCAGGUGAAAUACCAAGGCUACUGGACCAUAGAACACCAAAUCUCUGAAAAGAUUAUGGAGGUCCUCUUGAGUGAGGACAACCUUGGGUCAUAAGGAGAAAUGUCUGGAGAAACAAGAACCUUGUACCUGGGGAAGCCCAGGCUGAGACUGGCUUCAAGACUGGCACAGAUAUGGCCUCACCUGCUGUCAAAGCACCAGGACACACACAGCUCAUCUUCAUGGACUGGACCAGCUGGUGGUUUGCUCCCCCAUGUUCACCAUCCAUGGAGGGAUUUCAAAGCCAUGUAGAUGUGGUGCUGAGGGACAAGGUUUAGUGGUGGAUUUUGCAGCAUGCUGGGUUAAUGGUUGGACUUGAUGAUUGGAAAGGUCUCUUCCAAACAAAAUGAUUCUAUGAUUCUAUGUUUCAGAACAUUUUAGCUCUAAUGUAGCUUACUUUACACAUAGUAUAGAAAAUUCUGCCAACUCUUGUGGAAGAGGGCCAGCCCAGUCUUGCUCAGGCAACUAGGUGUGAACCAGUAUCUCGUUAUUCAAUUGGGGCAGCUGUGUUUCAAUUAAGCAGCUGGCAGGAGUUUUUUCAAUGCUUCCAGCAUGAAAAGGAAGCUGCAAUGCAGGCCUGGCUGGUUGAGGACACUAACAUAGCCAUGGAGUGAAGGUUUUGUGCUGCUUGUUCAUCCUACGUGGUUAACCUUCCUCUGCAUGCUGUGCUGAGAGGGAAAUCCAGCACCCAGGGGUCAUCUCACAGUGGGACAAACAAGGAAGGGUGAGUGGAUUUGUGAUCUGACAGCUCUGCAAUGUUUCUCUUUUCUGGUGUGAAAGUGGUCAGGCCCACAAAAGGGGAUGCUGAAGUGAGAGCAAUGGCAGGAAAACCUUAAAAUACAGGAGAACUGGUGACCUUUGUGGACAAUUCCUGUUCUCCUCUGCAUACUUCUGGAGGCUGUUGGUUGCGAGAUGCCACGCACUGUGUGCAAUGCCCAGCAUGGCUGGCAUGUUGCCCUCAGGGCUUUUUACUUUUAGCUGUCUCAGUUCUCACUGCAUAUCACUGCAGCAUGGCAAGCUUGGGUACCCUGCUAGAAAUCCCAGGAAGGCUCUGGUGCCUUUUCUCUUGCCAGAAACAAAGAUGACUUGCAGCUCUGAAGAUCCCCCUCAGGUUUGCUUCCCCCACCUCACAGCUCCUGAGCACCACUAGUUUUGGUUAAUUAGUUUAAACAGUUUCAAAUGACUUCAGACUUUUCUGAAAGUAGUGGGGGCCUACCUACAGAAGCUAACAUGAGUCCUGAGGACUUCUGGUGGUCCAUCUGCUAGGACAGAGCAGAACAUAUGGCUAUCAGGAGGUGCCACUGCCCUCUUCAAGCUGCCUCAUGAAAUGUUCCCAGAGUUCAUCUGGAUUUAUGCCUUUCUGUCAUACACAAUCUUGCUAUUACUAUGCUAUGGUUUACUCUUUUGUGAAGGAAUUGGAAUGACCAUAUUUUCCUUCAUUUCUACACUGGCAUAUGUCAUCUUUAUGCAAAAGAAAGGAAAAGCAUUACUCCAAGCCUCCUUAUCUCUGGAAAAUGAAACUAUCAGUAGCAUCUUUUCAUUUGUGUUCUUUGCAAGCUCUUACAUCUUUUAUCAGUUUACACAGCAAGUGUAAAACAAGCUGGUAUGUUAUCUGGGUCUUCUUCUCGGGGAAUCUUUUUCUACAUUGAAAAACCCCAAGCUGUACAGACAUUACAGUGGGAUGCAAAUUUUCUCAUGAUAACUCAGAAGAUCUGAAGGUUCAUGCUGACCAGGCUAAAACAGUUAUUUGGAAACUGGAAAUUUGAGUGGUAUUUUCAGUCAACCAACCUCUCUCCUAAAUAGUGACAUUAAAAGAGAACAUAUCCCAAAGUAUUUACACAUAAACCAAAAAUGUACAGGACAUGAGAUGAGGAUUUCCAAGGAGCCAGACAAAACUAUCUGGAAGAUACCACAGAAAUAUAUUGCGGGAGUUUUGUGUGUUCACCUUUCCCAAAUACCUGUUCUAAGCUGGAAUCUCUCUACAUUUUGGCCUGUGUUGCUUGAAGAGAGAUUAAGGAAGAGGAACAGAGGGAAAUCAGAUACCUAGACAUGAGGACAACAUUUGAACUGCUGAGUUUCUUUCACACACAAAUGACAACGUAUCUGUGACAGCAAAUUGCAGCAGCUGGUCAUAAAAAUGAACACUUUUAAGAUACCAAAACCAAGUGAUUAAAGAUGACAUUAAAAAAGCUGGUCUUUUUGCUGGGAGGGCAGCAAAUAUUAAUUUCCACUGCCUUUAGAUCAGCCUCUAAAUGCUGGAAUAGAGCCUAAACUCUCCCAAGAGAAGCUGUAGCUGGUACUACUUGCUUCUGUGCCCAAUCAACUGUUGCUCUGGCCAGUACAUGGACGGUUCUUCCUCUGCUAGCUUGACUUCUUGGGAUUUCUGGUUCACUGUAAAUUGAAUAGAGCUUCCCUGGGGACCUGUUUGCCCUGGAACAAUGGCAGCAUGAGAUGGAUGUCACUAAGAAAUCAAAGAGAAAUGAAGAGAUGCAGAGCAAGGGCUGGCACUGCUGGCAGACAGAGACUGCAAGGAGGAACUGUGGGCUUGGGGAGCAGCUCUGGAACUCCUGCCAUUCUGAUUUUCCAAUAGUAACAAAAAUACAAAUCUUGUCCUUUUGGGUGGUAGGCCUGGGAAGAAGUUAUCUCAUCUGCUUGCUGUCCAGUGAACACCUCAUGUAUGUAAAGAUCCUAAUUAUCCACCUUGCAUGCAAUUCAUGCCACUAAUCACUUUCACUUACAGAGCAUGGCAGCUGCCCUGAGAUAUCAUUCCUCAGGGAAAGAGGCCCUAGAGACACUGCUUAGUGUAUCAAAUUUGGUAAAAUUCUUGCAAAGACAGAGUGUAGCAAUUGCUGGGCAAAAUGUGAUUUCUAAUUAACAUUCUUAAAAAUAAGAAGCAGUAGAAACUGCUAGUUGUCACAAAAAGUCCCUUGCUCCUCUUUCAUCGUGGCUUCUUACCAUAUUCCUUGCACAACCUUGGCUAAAUCAAAGAGACUUGUGAAUUCCUUCCUAUAAAAAACAUGUCAAAUCAUCUUUCAACUGUCUGAGAAACAAAGUGUUCCACAAAUGUUACACAGAAUUUAUUUGGUUCAGGGAUUUAUGCUUUGAACUAAUUGUUGCAGCUCUUGCCGUGGGGCUUUACUGGGUGACGAAACGGAGAGCAAGGUGCCCACUGCUCUGCUUGAGCAAAAAGCUCUUUCCUCAAGGGACACCUACAUGUCAUGGGAAUCUUUUUAUUGCUUUUCAGGGAACCACAGGCUCUUGAUCCAAAAUCAAUAUUUUUAGCCCAGUGCCUUGAAAGAUGUCACUGCCUGACUCGUACUCAAUGCGCUUUUGUGCAUCUGUGGAUGGUUACCCAGCCUGCUGACAGCUUCAGCUUGCCAAGGGAGGGCUUCUGGCUUCUUCUAGGUAUUCCCUAGGGCAUGUGUGAAAGCUGUAGCUGCAUAAUGGGAUGUUCACUUCCCACGUUAAAUCACCGAAGGAGGAAUGUCAAAGGAAAGGCAAGGGAGCAUCCGCCCCAGCCUGGAGCUGGUGCUGGGUGUGCAGGCAGUGAGGCAGGGCAGGAGCAGCAGGCAGAGCCUCCUCUUCUCUCCAGGACAGUUUCCACAGAGGGAUCGUGCUCACCCUUCAGCUAGACUGACC